rnacentral:tRNA from 1 species
GAGCCUGUAGCUCAGCCGGAUAGAGCAACGGCCUUCUAAGCCGUGGGUCGGGGGUUCGAAUCCCUUCAGGCUCG